GACGAACGCUGGCGGCGUGCUUAACACAUGCAAGUCGAACGAAGAGCGAUGGAAGCUUGCUUCUAUCAAUCUUAGUGGCGAACGGGUGAGUAACGCGUAAUCAACCUGCCCUUCAGAGGGGGACAACAGUUGGAAACGACUGCUAAUACCGCAUACGAUCUGACCUCGGCAUCGAGGAUAGAUGAAAGGUGGCCUCUAUUUAUAAGCUAUCACUGAAGGAGGUGAUUGCGUCUGGUUAGCAAGUUGGAGGGGUAACGGCCCACCAAGGCGAUGAUCAGUAGCCGGGCUGAGAGGAUGAACGGCCACAUUGGGACUGAGACACGGCCCAGACUCCUACGGGAGGCAGCAGUGGGGAAUCUUCCGAAAUGGACGAAAGUCUGACGGAGCAACGCCGCGUGAGUGAUGACGGCCUUCGGGUUGUAAAGCUCUGUUAAUCGGGACGAAAGGCCUUCUUGCGAAUAGUUAGAAGGAUUGACGGUACCGGAAUAGAAAGCCACGGCUAACUACGUG
rnacentral:rRNA from 1 species